CGCCCUUAGAGUUUGAUCCUGGCUCAGGAUGAACGCUGGCGGCGUGCUUAACACAUGCAAGUCGAACGAAGCACCUUGAUUUGAUUCUUCGGAUGAAGAUCUUGGUGACUGAGUGGCGGACGGGUGAGUAACGCGUGGGUAACCUGCCUCAUACAGGGGGAUAACAGUUAGAAAUGACUGCUAAUACCGCAUAAGACCACAGCACCGCAUGGUGCAGGGGUAAAAACUCCGGUGGUAUGAGAUGGACCCGCGUCUGAUUAGGUAGUUGGUGGGGUAACGGCCUACCAAGCCGACGAUCAGUAGCCGACCUGAGAGGGUGACCGGCCACAUUGGGACUGAGACACGGCCCAAACUCCUACGGGAGGCAGCAGUGGGGAAUAUUGCACAAUGGGGGAAACCCUGAUGCAGCGACGCCGCGUGAGCGAUGAAGUAUUUCGGUAUGUAAAGCUCUAUCAGCAGGGAAGAAAAUGACGGUACCUGACUAAGAAGCACCGGCUAAAUACGUGCCAGCAGCCGCGGUAAUACGUAUGGUGCAAGCGUUAUCCGGAUUUACUGGGUGUAAAGGGAGCGUAGACGGAGUGGCAAGUCUGAUGUGAAAACCCGGGGCUCAACCCCGGGACUGCAUUGGAAACUGUCAAUCUAGAGUACCGGAGAGGUAAGCGGAAUUCCUAGUGUAGCGGUGAAAUGCGUAGAUAUUAGGAGGAACACCAGUGGCGAAGGCGGCUUACUGGACGGUAACUGACGUUGAGGCUCGAAAGCGUGGGGAGCAAACAGGAUUAGAUACCCUGGUAGUCCACGCCGUAAACGAUGGCUACUAGGUGUUGGGCAGCAAAGCUGUUCGGUGCCGCAGCAAACGCAAUAAGUAGUCCACCUGGGGAGUACGUUCGCAAGAAUGAAACUCAAAGGAAU
rnacentral:rRNA from 1 species